GAUGAAGAACGUAGCGAAAUGCGAUAAGUAGUGUGAAUUGCAGAAUUCAGUGAAUCAUCGAAUCUUUGAACGCACAUUGCGCCCCUUGGUAUUCCAUGGGGCAUGCCUGUUCGAGCGUCAUUUGUACCCUCAAGCUUUGCUUGGUGUUGGGUGUUUGUCCCGCGUUGCGCGUGGACUCGCCUUAAAGCGAUUGGCAGCCGGCAUAUUGGCCUUGGAGCGCAGCACAUUUUGCGCUUCUAGUCAUGAAUGUUGGCGUCCAUUAAGCCUAUACAUUUGCUCUUGACCUCGGAUCAGGUAGGGAUACCAGCUGAACUUAAGCAUAUCAAUAAGCGGAGGA
rnacentral:misc_RNA from 1 species